GAGGGGAGUGCGCUUUGCUUUCCCGGGGUCUGAGGCUAAUUCUUCCCCUCUUACCCAUAAACUCAGCUCCUCAAGCUAAAUGCACAAAAGGGAGCGAGAAUUUUGAACCAUUGGAACAAUGAUGUUACGUACAGGAGGUUUAGAGAGGCGAGUGUAAGAGGAAAAAAAAAAAACCAACAAUAAACACUACAGCUCUUUCCAGCUAGAAUAUUAGGCACCACGAGAAAAAUAUUUGCCAAGCAGUUUUCGUCAGUGAUAGGAAGGAGGUGAUCCUUGUGAACUGGGUAGUCUUUAAGCCACUAGGCUCUAUGUGGAUGUGGAAAAUAUUUCAUAACAUCCUGAAGAAGGGACGGAAGGAGGAAGGAAGAAAGGGAAGGACUUAAAGAGAUUUUCCAGGUAAGAAAUACAGAACUGGCUCAAGCAUCACUGCAUAAAAAGUAAUUAUUUGAAGUCAGAGGAAAUAACAGAUGAGGAGUUUGCCCUUAAAAUAUAAAGAAGAGAAAUAAAAAGAAGCCGUUUUGAUCUACCAGACGAAACUUGAAAGCAAUGAAAUAAUAGUUUCUAUCAAUAUUUCCUAUACAUUUUCAAUUUCCAUUCUUUAUAAAAAAAAAAGGUCUAAAUGUUUUCAGGUCUGAUUGUGGAUGACAUAAGAAGGUUAAGAAAUCUCAUCAUCCUCAGAAAACAACAUCGUGAGCUUCCUCCCCUUAGACUGCCUGGGAUAUUAUACCUAUGAGUAAGCAGGGGUAAAGCCAACUGCCUUGCCACAGUGUAAAACCACUGAGAGGCUAGAACCAGGAGGGUCCUUAGCUUUAUGUAACCCAAUACUACUGAUGUUAUAUCUUUGGAAACUGAGCCCCAGUCAGAACACAUUUGCCACAAGGACUGUCGUUCACAGAGCUGUAUCCAGAACUUUGAUGGCUGGGUUCUAAAUCCACUAUGCUUUUUAAACAGUAUAUUAUGGAAAGAGGAUUACAAUGGGCAGUCUCACAUAAGAGUAUAAGAGUCGUGUGCUGUAGAAUCACAUUCAGAGAAGGCCUCAAAUUUAGACCCUUGACAUUAUCUCCACUGGGUUCGCACAUCAAUCCAAGCGGUCCAUCAACAGGACUGAAAAAAGACCUAUGAGUCCCAGUGCAGGACCAUAGUGUCCUAUAGUACUGUGAUCUAAUGCUGCUCAUAAAUCUUAUGAGUAUGCUGGUGUUAAAAAUGUAAGAUUUGAAAUGUAUUUGGCCUAGAAGAGACAAUAAGCAGCAAGCAUGGCUAAUGCUCAGAUCUGGGUGUCCAAUGCCAUUCCCUGGUAACAGGAACCAAGGCCUCCUGGGAGAAAUGGCUCAGUAGACUGGGCAGGGAGUAUACAAAAUAAGACUGGAACAUCACACAGUACCAUACAGAAGGGAAUUACUGGAACCAAAAUGACAUUGUAGGAGAUGUUUCAAGGACACAAGAGAGCCUCUUGAAGCACUCCCAGUGGCCAAAGGUGGAAUAACUGAGCAACAAAAUAAUUCUAUGUUUGGAUUAUAACCCAGAGUAUAAAAUAAAUAUCCACAAGUCCACAGUGAUAUAAAUAUAUCAUAGGAUAAAUUAAUAAAUAGGCAAGAUGAGACCAAUAUCCCAUGCAGAAGCAUGCCAAGUAAUUUAUAUAGAUACACUGUCUUCUAAGAAGGGAAGCAUAAAUCCUUACUCUCAGCUGUGAGCUGGAUAUAGUAAUGUCCUUCCAAAGAGUUCAGUGUAGAAAAAGAGUAAGAGCAGAGCAACUUAACAAACAAAAACCUGACAAACCCCAUCUCAGCCAGCCAAUCAAAGUCAACGGUGAUAAAUCAUAUUGAUAGUAAAUCCCACUGACAGUCUUCUAAUAAUACUUAAGCUAAUCAUAAGAGAAACUUCAGACAAAUACUAGUAAAGGGGCAUCCUACAAAAUGGUUGACUAACAAUCCUGAAAACCAUCAAGGUCAUCAGAAACAAGCAAAGUCUGAGAAUCUGCCACAGCCAACAAUAGCUGAAGGAGACGUGACAACUUGAUGUAAUGCAAUGCCCCGGAUGCAGUCACAGACCACGAAAAGACACAAGAUAAACUUCAACAAAACUGAAUCAAUGAUGGAUUUUAGUUAAUAAUAAUGCCUCAAUAUUUUUCACUGUUAUAAAUGUACUAAUUUCAGAUGUUAAUAAAGGGGAAACUGGCUGCAGUGUUGUUCUCGGUACCAUUUUAUCAAUUUUCAUGUUAACCUAAAACUUUUAAAACGAAGUCAGUAAGUUGGAAAAAUAUAUACUUAUAAAGUUUUGGAAUUUUUUUUCAAUAGUAGAAACCUCCUAAAAGUGACUUAGACCUCUGAAAGGCUCACUUCCCACUCAGUCAUUUUCCUAACACAGAGUCAGGAAAGUGGGGGUACCAUACUCAUUCUUUGAGUUUACUAAAUUGAAAGCAAUUUAGUUUCUGAAUGCCACCAUCUGUAUAAUGAACCAUCAGAAAAACACUAGGGCGGCUGGGCAUUUAGCUCAGUGGUUUCGCUGCCUGCUGCGCAAGCUCAAGGAUCCAAGUUUGAUCCCCGGUAACCUCUCCCCCCCCCAACAAAACCCACUAGGGAGGCACCAAA
rnacentral:lncRNA from 1 species